rnacentral:lncRNA from 1 species
AUCGAACCCAGUGUCUUACACAUUAGAGGCAAGUGCUCCACCACUGAGCUAUAGCCCCAGCCCCAUAGAAUUUUAAAUUAACUAGAAUUUAGUCACACUUAUCACAAUUCAAAAGCUCAGUAGUCACCAUGGCUGGUGGUCACCACAUUGGGUAACAUAGUUAGAGAACAUUCCUAUUGUUUUAGCAGGUACAGUUGGGCAGCGUUGCUCUAGAUUAUUUGUCCAGCUUAUGAUAAUCUUUUCUUCUAUCUAAUCCCCAGGAGUAGAGCCUUAGCUUCUGUCAAAUCAAAUUUUAAAAUUGUUUGCCUCUUUUCCAGGUACAGUGGUGCAGGCCUGGAAUCCCAGUGACUCAGGAAAUUGAGGCAGGAGGAUCACAAGUUUGAGGCCAGCCUCAGCAACUUAGUAAGACCCCGUCGUAAAAUUAAAAUAAUAAAAAGGGCUUGGGAUAUAGCUCAGUGGUAAAGUGCCCCUGUUUUCAGUCUGUAGUACCAGAAAAAAAAAUUGUUUGCCCCACUUAAAAGUCUUCUAUGAGGGGUUAGGAUUGUGGCUCAGAGAUAGAGUGCUCACCUAGCAUGUGUGAGGAUCUGGGUUCGAUCCUCAGCACCACAUAAAAGUAAAAAAUAAAGAUAUUGUGCCCACCUAUAACUAAAAAAUAUUUUAAAAAGUCUGUGGUUGCUCAUAUUAUAAUAGGGGUUCACUUGAUGCUUCGACUACUUCCCUUGUGGGGAGAUGUAGUCCCCCACAACCUUUUCUCCCUGAUCAUCUUCCCCCAUCUUCUUUUCCCUAAUCUUCUCCUUCCUGAUCUUUUCCUCCCUGAUCUUCUUUCCCCUGAUCUUCUCCUUCCUGAUCUCUCCUCCCUAAUCUCAUUUUCUCUGAAUCACCUCUAUAAAAGCCCCCUAUUCCUGCUGAUGGGCAGAAUCUCAGCUCUUGGGGCAAGAGUCCCCUGUGUUUCUCCUUUGCUAGCA